AAAAUAACAAUUUGCCACCCAUUGUAUGGUUGAGUCCGGCUUGUCCGCGGCCCAGCCCCAAAACAUUGGGAUUUUUGGCCCCACAUCUUGUGCACUGUACCGUCUUUGGUGGUGGGGUGGGGCAUUGCAGUAUGCUUUGUCUCAUCUGUCAGCUUGGAUCGCAAGGUCCAUGCCGUGGACAAGCCACCGCAUGUAUUCAAACAUUUUCUUUUUCUUUUGUCUGACAUUUCAACUUGUAUUAAUAUACAAACAACUUUUGGCAACGGAUCUCUUGGUUCUCGCAACGAUGAAGAACGCAGCGAAAUGCGAUAAGUAGUGUGAAUUGCAGAAUUCAGUGAAUCAUCGAAUCUUUGAACGCACAUUGCGCUUCCUGGUAUUCCGGGGAGCAUGCCCGUUUCAGAAUCAAUAAAAACCUCACCGCAACUUGGUGCUUUCGAGCAUUGAAGACCGGUGGAUCUGGAUUUUUUGCUUUGGCAAUGAUCUGAAAUUGAUUGUAUGCGCACCAACUGAUUUGUCUUUUGGCUGUCCAAGUGCAACAAGUGGUUUAUCCAUUUCGCUUAGGCAACUGAUUCGCAAUGUUGAUGUGUUUACUCAACCUUUAUUUGUGAGGUUUCGGUUUGCAAAGACUGGACUCUCCAAAAACUUGAUCUGAAAUCGGGUAGGAAAACCCGCUGAACUUAAGCAUAUCAAUAAGCGGAGGAUCGUACGCUUGGUCAUUAGAGGAAGUAAAAGUCGUAACAAGGUUUCCGUAGGUGAACCUGCGGAAGGAUCACUAGUGAUUAAAUCGAGCGUGUCUUCAUUGACCGCUCACCCUUCUCACCAUCCACAUACACCUGUGCACUGUUUAGCCUGAGCCGGUUUUCCGGUCCAGGUUAUCAUUUCAUACAAACUCUAGUCUUAUGAAUGUAAACGUUUUAAUAACAUAAUA
rnacentral:misc_RNA from 1 species